CCGAAUCCCGCGGCCGAUAUCGGACGCCGGGAAAUGUGGUGUUAGGGAGGAUCCGUUUAUCCCGAGGUUUGGCGGUGCGUCCAAGUCCUUCUUGAACGGGGCCACAGCCCAUAGAGGGUGCCAGGCCCGUAGCGACUGCUGCCGAUCGCGGGAGGAUCUCUCCUCAGAGUCGGGUUGCUUGAGAGUGCAGCCCUAAGUGGGUGGUAAACUCCAUCUAAGGCUAAAUAUGACCACGAGACCGAUAGCGAACAAGUACCGUGAGGGAAAGUUGAAAAGCACUUUGAAGAGAGAGUUCAAGAGUACGUGAAACCGUUCAGGGGUAAACCUGAGAAACCCGAAAGGUCGAAAGGGGAAAUUCAUUCGCGUCUCGGUUGCGGGGCGGAGCGGUCGAGUGACGGACGGCGUUCGCGCGUCGUUCGCGCCUUUCGUUCCGCCAUACCGUAUCGAACGCGUGCACUUUUCCCCCAGUAGGACGUCGCGAUCCGUUGGGUGUCGGUUUAAGGCCCGCGGCGGAGCCCGAGUGUCGCGUCUAUUUCGGUAGGCGCGCUUCGCUAGGACCCGCGGUGUUCCCGGCCGACUCGCUCGACGGUAUACAGAAGGCGUGGGGCCGCUUCUCGUUCAGAGUAAGCGUUCGGCCCGCGGCAAGCGCGUUCGGAGUUUAGCGGCGAUCGGACCUGGUGCCGGUCCCGCUCCCGUACGACUGUUGGCCGCGGUGUUCUCGGACAGACCUCUUGUGCAACGCCGAUCUGCGACGCUAUAGCUUUGGGUACUUUCAGGACCCGUCUUGAAACACGGACCAAGGAGUCUAGCAUGUGCGCGAGUCAUUGGGACACGACUAAACCUAAAGGCGUAAUGAAAGUGAAGGUCCGUCUCGCGCGGACCGAGGGAGGAUGGGCGAACGUUAUUUGCGUAACGCCGCUCCGCACUCCCGGGGCGUCUCGUUCUCAUCGCGAGAAGAGGCGCACCAAGAGCGUACACGCUGGGACCCGAAAGAUGGUGAACUAUGCCUGGUCAGGACGAAGUCAGGGGAAACCCUGAUGGAGGUCC
rnacentral:rRNA from 1 species